UUUCAGAAGAUGAAGUGGACGAGGAAGCAGUAGAGUGUAAUAACAUGAUUGCUGCAAUUGGUGAGGAUGCAUCAUCUUUUGAGAGUAAUGUGAAUGUCCUGCGUAUCCAGUGAAAUAAGUCAUGGUGAACCUGACUGAAUGCAUUCAUCAACCAUCUCCAACCAAGUCAGAGCUUCAAGGACAGCUUGUGCUAAAGGUGCCUGAGCUUGAUUAAGAAAAAAAGCAUCUCUACUGGCCAAAGUCUACAAAAAAGCAAGAGAAUAGAAGCUUGCAGAUGAUCUAACAG
ensembl:processed_transcript